rnacentral:rRNA from 1 species
AAUGAACGCUGGCGGCGUGCUUAACACAUGCAAGUCGAACGAGAAAGCUUUAGCUUGCUAAAGCGAGUACAGUGGCGCACGGGUGAGUAACGCGUGGGUAAUCUACCUUUGAAUCUGGGAUAACACUGCGAAAGGGUUGCUAAUACCGGAUAAUAUCUUUGCCAUUGCGGUGGUGGAGAUCAAUGAUGGCCUCUUCUUGAAAGCUAUUGUUUGAAGAUGAGCCCGCGUACCAUUAGCUUGUUGGUGGGGUAAUGGCCUACCAAGGCGACGAUGGUUAGCUGGUCUGAGAGGAUGAUCAGCCACACUGGAACUGGAACACGGUCCAGACUCCUACGGGGGGCAGCAGUGAGGAAUUUUGCGCAAUGGGGGAAACCCUGACGCAGCAACGCCGCGUGAGUGAUGAAGGCUUUCGGGUCGUAAAGCUCUGUCAAGUGGGAAGAAGUUGUGCAUGGCUAAUAUCUGUGCAUAUUGACGGUACCACUGAAGGAAGCACCGGCUAACUCCGUGCCAGCAGCCGCGGUAACAC